rnacentral:rRNA from 1 species
AUACGUAGGGAGCGAGCGUUGUCCGGAAUUACUGGGUGUAAAGGGAGCGUAGGCGGGAGUGCAAGUCAGAUGUGAAAUACAUGGGCUCAACCCAUGGGCUGCAUUUGAAACUGCAUUUCUUGAGUGAAGUAGAGGUAAGCGGAAUUCCUGGUGUAGCGGUGAAAUGCGUAGAUAUCAGGAGGAACACCGGUGGCGAAGGCGGCUUACUGGGCUUUUACUGACGCUGAGGCUCGAAAGCGUGGGGAGCAAACAGGAUUAGAUACCCUGGUAGUCCACGCUGUAAACGAUGAUUACUAGGUGUGGGGGGACUGACCCCUUCCGUGCCGCAGUUAACACAAUAAGUCAUCCACCUGGGGAGUACGGCCGCAAGGUUGAAACUCAAAUGAAUUGGCGGGG